rnacentral:misc_RNA from 1 species
GCACUUGGAAUUGCUUUGAAGUUGACAUUUUCAGGAAUGAAUCAGCUAAUGUAUCCCCAAACAUGGGCUUUCACUUUAGUUGUAAUUACUUGUGUGCUUACCCAAAUGAAUUAUUUGAACAAGGCACUUGAUACAUUUAACACUGCUGUCGUAUCUCCCAUAUACUACGUUAUGUUCACAUCGCUUACCAUUGUGGCUAGUGUAAUCAUGUUCAAGGAUUGGGAUAGGCAGAGUCCAACUCAGAUUGUCACAGAAAUGUGUGGGUUUGUGACCAUCCUUUCAGGAACAUUUCUUCUUCACAAGACAAAGGAUAUGGCUGAUGUGUCAACAUCUCUGCCUGUGCGACUUCCUAAGCACACAGAGGAGGACGGCUAUGGUGCUGAAGGCAUCCCUCUUCGGCGUCAGGAGUCAUUGAGAUCAUCGCAAAAUUGAUAUAUUCAUCAGCUUCUUCCUGCAAUUGUGAAAGGAAUGCUAUUUGGGGAAGGGAAUGUCUGACAUCAACCUGUAUUUUAUGAGAGUACUGCAAUCAUGUUGUUUCCAGGAUACUGUAAGAGAAAGGAGGGUGAGCUUCUUCCCUUCCGUGUUUCUUUUUGGCUUCACAAAGUGUCUAGCAUUCAUCUGUUUCCUUGUGCGCGGUCCCGGCUCCCCCAAUUCAUACGGAAAGAAUUGGCCAAUGUAAUUUUGAGCACAUUGGUAAAAUAUAGUGCUUCUUUGUUUCUUUUGUCACGAAUUGAAUUUGCUUACAAAAUUUAUCCUGCAAAGCGUAAGGCUGUGACCACAUGGACGUGGGGCUUGCAUGCAUUGCAGCAAACAGUGGUUCUCAUUUUUGGAUGAAAGCAUAUUCUUACAUGUUUAUUCCAAGAAUAUUCCGCUUGCAAGUUUGCGUAGCUAGUUGUAAAUUGAUGCUUUAUCAAGAUAUUUUCCUGUUUCCUUAAUCAACACGAUAAAGGGGGG